rnacentral:tRNA from 2 species
GGGGAUGUAGCUCAGCUGGCUAGAGCGCUUGCAUGGCAUGCAAGAGGCCGUGGGUUCGAAUCCCAUCUUCUCCA